rnacentral:lncRNA from 1 species
UAUAUUCUUUCUAUUUCUAUUAAAGGUAAUUAUUUAUAAUGUUGUUGAUUCAGAAUGAUCCUUUAAACUUUGCUUCUACGAAGGCACACUCAAAACUUUUCUGUCGAAUGGGCCAGUGAUGGUAAUCGCUCGACACAAGCAAGUCUAAUGACACCUACGUGUAAAGGCAAAAUCAUGGAUUCAUGUUCCCACAACUACAGGUGCUUCUGUGUCUUGGAACGUGCAUACAGAUUAACAGGCAGUGGAGUGCACCCCAACUUGAACAGAACCAUGCUGGGCCUGAAUGUCCCCUCCCAGCCCUUCCUGCUCCAAGAGGUGGCUGAGGUCCCCUCUUCUUUCACAGGAAGUGAUUCAGCACCUGGAGGUCUCCGCUUUGGGUCCAAGAGCACAGAGCAUGGCUUCAGGGGGGUGGAUGGACAGAGGCUGCGGCGAGCGGCAGAGAGCACAGCCCAGAGACUCAGCACCUCCUUCAGACAGAAAGAGGCCAGUUAGGGGCUGGCCGGUCAGCAAGGGAGCCAUGUACAAGAGGGGCUGAGAACUCCCCAUCCUCCCGUGGGGCCUGUGAGGCUGGAAGUACCUGGCAGUCACCUGGCAAGAUUCUGUUGAGUGCAGAACGACAAACAGAACACCUCUCUUUGCAGUCAACUCUCCAGAGGUUUUGGGUUAUGUCCACAAUUGAUCACUCUAUCUUUGUGCAGUGUGAGUGCUCUCCUAUUUUUUUUGUUUUGUUUGUUUUUUUGUCCAGUCCAAAAACUUCUAUGUAGAAAGAGAAAAAUACCUUAGAUUAGCCUUUGGAUUUUAAGAAUAUUAGUGAUUAAAAGUAGAGCUCACAUUUCUUUAGGGCUAACUGGGAACAUCUCUGUGCAAAGCCCUUUACUUUGAAACUGUCAUAACUUUUAUUUUUAAAUUACAUCAUUUAAGUAUCACACCCACAGUCUGAGCUAGGUACUACUCUUGCCAUCUCCAGUUUACUGCUGGGAAUUUGAGGGCCCAAAGAAGCUCUGUACCAUGCACCAGGCCACGCAGUACGUGGCAGAGUUGGAUUUUGAAUCCAGGACAGUCAGACCCUGAAGGCAACGUGUGCAACCACUGUGCAAUCGGAGCGACCUUGGAUAUGUGGCAGAGUCGGACCUCAAUUUACAGAUGCAGUGAUAGGCGAGAGGAGGCAGGGCAAUUUUUAACCUAUGUAAUGUCCAUUCAUCCCUCCAAAGUGCCCCGAGAGGCAGGUUUUAGUGUCACACACAAGUUGCAGAUGGGGAAACUGCGAUGCAGAACAGAUCACCUGCCCAAGGACACAGGGCAGAUAAGCAGAAGUGUGGGGACUGAGUCACCUCCUCUGGAUCCAUUGCCCACGCUCCUUCUACCACUCACGCUGCGGGGAUUGGCAGGGCACGACAGGCUUGGUCUACCCUAUCCCCCUGUCCCCCACCUCCGAAUCCCAAGCACCUGGCAUGCAUGAUACCCUGUACAUGGUGGGCUCACAAUGAAUGUU